GUGCUGGCUUCAGCAGCACAGAUACUAAAAUUGGAACAAUAAAGAGAAGAUUAGCACAGCCCCUGUGCAAGGAUGACACACGUAUUUGUGAAGCAUUCUAUAUUUUU
rnacentral:snRNA from 1 species